CUCAUUGGGUGCGUGAGAAGGGAAGGGUGGAUCCUAAAAGAUCCCUUUUACAGUUGGAUUCUCCCUCUUGGAUCUGGCUCUGCCUUAGUCCGACCUAGAGGGAUCAGCUUCGCCCACGCCCACUCUCACCCGGAACCUUUCAUCUCUUAUUGAAGCCUUUUAGGCCCAUUGGGAUGUUCAUUAGAACUCUGAAAACUACAGUUCUCCCCUUUAUGAGGACUGCACCACAGCUCGCCCUCUCCUGGGUUCCGAAACAAGGUCUCACUGUGUCACCCAGGCUGGAGAGCAGUGGCACGAUCAUAGCUCACUGAUCACAUGGCAGCCUCAAACUCCUGGACUCAGUGGGUCCUCCUGCCUCAGCAUCCUGAGUAGCUGGGACUACAGCCUGGUUGCAGAGUGAGCCCAUGGGACAGCCCUCUGAAAUUAUACUGCUUACAACCAUGCUGAGUCUGCAAGGACUUCGUCCAAGCCUUUCCGUCCAGGACCUCAAACAGAUCCAAUCACAAGAAGAGAGAUUUCAGGAAAGAGAAAAUUAUUCCUAUCAUCGGGGUUUUUGAAGAACAUGAAAUGACUGGGAAAAUAAUCAUGUUAAGUGGAAAAAAAAAAGAAAUCUAUCUGUUGUAAUUUUCAAAUAAUUUUUAAAUAAAUUUGAAAAAUUAAGAGAACUAUAUAUAUAAUACAUUCCUAAUCUUGUGAAAAAUAUAUAUGCAUUAAUAUUAUUGAAAGAAAUAUAUCAAAAGGUGAACAGCAAUUAUCACCAAUCUAGAUUAUGAGAUUAGGAGUGAUUUUUUUUCUUUGUCCUAUACUAUUUAAUAUUUUCUACCAUUAAAAUAUUCUGAUUUUCUAAUUAGAAUAGUACGUUAGACAAAGAAGGACAAAUAUCACAUGAACUCUCACUCUCUUAUGGAACAGAUCUUGUGGAAUCUAAAAAAGUUGAACUCAUAGAAAAAGAGGAAAAUGAUGGUUACCAGUUAGAAAAAAGGAAUAAGUUCAAGAGAUCUAUUGUACACCAUGGUCAAUAUAGUUAACAAUAUAUUUUAUACUUUAAAAUUGCUAAGGUAGUAGAUUUUAAGUGUUCUCACCACACAAAAAAAUAAGUAUGUGAAAAGCAUAUGGUAAUUAGCUUGAUUUAACCACGCCACAGUGCAUACAUAUGUCAAAACAUCAUGUUGUAUACUAUAAAUAUAUACACUUUUUGUCAAUUUUAAACAGGUUAUAAAAAAACAUGUUAUUGUUGAUAAUUAUGAAAAAUUUUAAUGAUGUGGAAAUGUGUACAGUAUAAUGAUAAAUGAAAGAGUAGUAAAAAUCCUUAUAAAAUAUAA
rnacentral:lncRNA from 1 species